AUGACUUUGAUCUGCGUCCUUAUCUGGACUCUCCUCUGCUGCUGCUUCACAGAGUCCAGAGGCCAGGUCACAGUGACUCAGCCUGGAGCAGUGAGCUCUGCUCUGGGAGGCUCCGUUUCCAUCAGAUGUAGGACCAGUCAGAAUGUUGAAGUUUGGAGCAACUACCACCUUUUAGCCUGGUACCAACAGAGAGAUGGAGAAACUCCUAAACUCCUCAUUUACUCUGCUAGCACUCGAGCAUCAGGGAUUCCAGAUCGUUUUACAGGCAGUGGAUCAAACUCUGACUUCACUCUGACCAUCAGUGGAGUCCAGACUGAAGAUGCAGCGGUUUACUACUGUCAGAGUCGACACUAUAUCAACAGUCAGCAUGUGUUCACACAGUGAAAAAGUGUCUUACAAAAA